GAGGGUAUGGCUCAGUGGUAGAGUGCGUGCUUAGCAUGCACAAAGUCCUGGGUUUGAUCUCCAGUACCUCCA
rnacentral:tRNA from 1 species